rnacentral:rRNA from 1 species
AUGAGUACUUUGAGAGAGAGUUCAAGAGGACGUGAAACCGGUAGGAUGGAAACGGAUAGAGCCGACGAACAAGCCCGUAUUCAGCUAGUCGGUGGCGUGCGGCACGCCUGUGUGCUCGAAAGGGUGCAUGGGUGUGUGCGGUAUGCUACUGGUUAGUGCAUUUGCGGGUGAUGUGCGCUGAGGCGUGUGGUGGUGUCCGGCAAACCGUUUGGAGAGGACUUGUCUUCGGACUUGAACCCUACAGGCGGGGAGUAGGAUUGCUGCUGCACGUAGAUAAGCGAUUAGGUGGAAACGCGGUGCCAUGCCGUCGGGCUAGUUACUUGGUCGGUCGCAUGCGACUGCUCCUCGUCGGCUGGUCUUGGCGGUGUAGUGCUGACCUGGUCGACCCUCGGUGUAAAAGUCGGUCAUCUCUCCGACCCGUCUUGAAACACGGACCAGGAGUCUAGCGUAUACGCGAGUCAUUGGGUGGAAAACCCAUAGGCGUAAUGAAAGUGAAGGUCUCUUUAUGAGGCUGAUAUGCGAUCCGUUGCACUUCGGUGUACGCGGAGCAGCAUAGCCCCGUCUCGACUGCUUGCAGUGGGGCGGAGGUAGAGCGUAUGCGCUGGUACCCGAAUGAUGUGAUUGUCUCUAAAAAACCAGGGA